GGAGAGCGUGGAGAGCACAACACUCACAAACCUAACUUCCAGCUGCAGCUGCUGCUAUGGCCGCUCGUUCAAGAUACCGGAGCAAGCACAUCGGUUCACGGUGCUAGGCUACAUCACGUAGCAUGCCAGACGGACCCACCAAAGAUGCGCACACAUGGAACGCAGCCUUCUAUGAAAACACUGCGACCUCACUACAAAAGUACAGGCACACAGAAAACUGUGCUGCACUGAUGUCGGUGUUGGGACCUCAGCUGUAAGAGACCUUGCUUGGAGGAGGGAGAGGACAAGAUGUGACAUUACAUGGAUAACCUGUUGGACCUCAUCUUUCACAAGGUUUUUCAGGACCCGGCCCCAUAUGUGAAUGAGGUGCUGAAGAUCUCAAAACCUGAGGAUCUCUCUGCCUAGUAUGAGAAACCUGACAAGCAGGAAGUUAUAGCCAGCUAUGUGUCGAGUUUCAAUCAAGGGCAGGUCUGAACCCUGUAUAACUUCCCUGAGCAUCAGGGAACACUCUGCGUAUCUGGAGCACAGAGCAGGAGGGCAGGACCACCCUGAUUCUCCGGCCCAGAGGGCCUCAACACCAGCUCACAAAGCUUCUGUACGCCAAAUACCUGUAACGGCUAAGCAAAGUUCACAUUGUAUUUAGAGAAUAAAAGGUGACACACAAAUAUAAAGUGUUCCUUUGUUUACAGUAUAGCUACUGAUGGCACAAAUUGUAUUUUUGUAAUGAAUGUAUUUAUUAUACUUGAUAUUUUUUGUAUUUAUUACCUCUGUC